UUGAGAAAGCAAUUAUGUGUUCUAGCUUUUAAGUGCUAUAGAAACACACUCAGGGUGGAAAAAUUGUGAAAGACUUCCCAGAAAAGGAGGGGAUGAAACUAGAAACAAAGCUGAGGCUCUCAGACCACGUCCAGAGGACAGCGACGGAAAACGCAUGUGCAGAAUAAGGUGGCACUAACAGGAGGGUUUGGUGGUGCAGAGACUUAAAACAACAGCAGCAGCAACAACAACAAACAGCUCGCUGUCCAGUGGCUGUGGGGCAGAGCCUCGGGCAGGGCGUCCCGGGGUGAAGACUGUCUGGACAAAGACCAGCUCCUCGGGCUGGGCGGCAGGCAAGAGAUGGCUCCAGAGAGAGGGGCCGACAAGACACACAGGAAGGUGAUGUGAACUGUCCACGUGGUUUGGAACCCUGGCACACACAAAUGCCUGUUACCUUCAUGGAGGAAACAAAACGCGGCUGGGUGCAAACCCCGUCACCACCUUUCCCCUGAAAGCUGGCUCGCCUUCAGCACCUGAUGUCAUCCAUGGCCACCAUCUCUCCCACAGUUCUCAUCUCUUCCAUUUUCCCUUCUGAGUUCCCAGAGCAUUUCUCAGAUGUGUUUUCCACAUCACUGCUCCAGUGCACCUCGGAGUGAAUCCUCCCUUUUACCGUCUCCAGUUUGUAUCUUAAUUCUGCUGCUGCAUGUUGUUUACCUCUGCUGUCCAUCCUUUCUGCUCCCUGUUCCUCUCAGCCCGUUUGUUCCUCAUGCUUUCGUGCUUCAGCUCCACAGAAGCCUUGUCUUCUUGCGUCAGCAAAGGAUACCAGAGCGGGGAGGGUACAGAUCAGUGGGAGAGCCCAUGCUCAGAUGCACGAGGUCCUGGGUUCAAGUCCCAGAACCUCCACUGACAAUAAAUAAAUGAAUCUAAUUACUUCCCCAAAACAAAAAGAUUUUUUAAAAAAAUAACUGUAUAAAAAUAACUAUAUAAAAAAACAAAGGAUACCAGAAAAGUUUUUAAAUUCCCUAUAAUUCUUUAAAUAAUUUGCAGAAUUGUUCUUCAAGUCUGCAUAAUGCUAUUCCCUUCCCUUGUUCUCAAAGUUUUAUUAAGCCCCGUGUUGUUACAUGACCUCUCACUUGACGAUGAGACUUGGCACACCUAGGCCUGGAAUCUGACAAUGAGCAGAACACGCGGGCUGCCCAGGGCCCCGUGCUGUCAGUGUGUGUGUCCGUGACCCCCCCGCUCCAGCUGCCAGCUGCGCAGCCGACGAGCCCAGCCCCUUGUGUAGUUCCGGUGUCUGACAGGUCUCCAUCUGGUCCUAAACUGAGAUAAGAUCCAACUGCGAGGCUUAUUGAGAUGCAGAAAUGAUAGAAUAUUAAAAAAAAAACAAAAGCAAAAAACCACUACAGUCCCCAGUGUUAUUAUUUGAGAUGGUUUUGAUUAUGAGUAACAGAAAAUCCACCUCUAGUUGGAAUUGACAGAAAUAAAGUUUAUGGGCUCAAAAAACUAGAAAGUUCUGUACUGUGCUUCAAAAUUUAAAAAAAAACACUUUCAUUAUGGGAAAUUUCAAAUCUACACAAAGUGAACAGAAUGGUCCAGUGACCUCCUAUGGACUCGUCACCAGCUCCAGCAAUUUUAGAUUCUGCCUUUCUUGUAUCACGAUGCCUUCACCCUCUCCUUACCCCUACUUGACUGCUGUUUUUGUAAUGGAAGUUCUCGAGUAACAUCUGCAUAAAUGGAAAUGCACAAAUCUUAACUGUAACAUUUUAACAAAUGGCCACAUCUGUAUAACCCACAUUCAGUUCAGAUACAGGACACUUCCAUUUCCCCAGUUCACCAAUAGCUCCCCACCUCCAGCCUGAGGCCACCUCUGCUCCAGUUUGUUUUCCACCAGAAAUCGGUUCUGCCUCUUCAACAAUUUUAUGUACAAGAGCUCAUUCAGCGCAUGCUUUCUGACGUCUGGUCUCUCACGCGGCGCUGCGUCUGACACUCAUCCGCUUGUUGCAUGUAUCAGCGGUUCUCUCCUUCGUACUGGUGAGCAGCACCCUGCUGUAUGCACAUAAACCACAGCUGCUUGUUCUCCUGGUGAUGGAUACGUGGAUUACUUGUUUUGUACACUGUGAAUAAAGAUGCUACGAAUGCUC